AUCACGUUAUCAGAGGAAGACAAGACUUGCUACAGUUCAUGCACAGGUCAAUGUAACGCGCAUGUCUUAAUUUGAUUACACGGCAUAUCAAUUUUACCAGCUAAAGCACUCCUCACAAUAUUUUGAAUGCACGGUCUGCUAGGAAGUAACUAUAUAUAUCUAAGGUCAGAUUGUUGAGUUUAUUGUACGCAUAAUUAAUGUAAA
rnacentral:lncRNA from 1 species